GCGCAGCAGGCGCGAAUGGUCUACAAUGGACGAAAGUCUGAUAGUGCGACGCCGUGUGUGCGAUUAAUUCCUUCGGGAUGUAAAGCACUUUUCUAUGAGAUAAAAGCUCUUUAGGUUAAUAGCUUAUUGAGACGGAUAUUAUUAUAGGAAUAGGCUCCGGCUAACUCCGUGCCAGCAGCCGCGGUAAUACGGAAGGAGCGAGCGUUGUCCGGAUUUACUAGGCGUAAAGGGCUAGUAGGCGACUAAUUAAGUUAUAUGUUAAAUCCCACGGCUCAACUGUGGUCCUGCAUGUAAUACUGGUUAGAUAGAGUACUGUAGAGGAAGGCAGAAUUCCUGGAGUAGCGGUGGAAUGCGCAGAUAUCAGGAAGAAUACCAAAAGCGAAGGCAGCCUUCUGGGCAGUUACUGACGCUGAAUAGCGAAGGUGUGGGUAGCGAAC
rnacentral:rRNA from 1 species